rfam:Triticum aestivum genome assembly, contig: Triticum_aestivum_CS42_TGACv1_scaffold_577988_7BL
CAAGUACUCCCUCCGUCCGGAAUUACUUGUCAUCAAAAUAGAUGUGUCUAGAACUAAAGUACAUCUAGAUAGAUCCAUUUCAAUGACAAGUAUUUUCGGACAGAGGGAGUACAAG